rnacentral:rRNA from 1 species
AGAGUUUGAUCCUGGCUCAGGAUGAACGCUAGCGGCAGGCUUAACACAUGCAAGUCGAGGGGUAGAGGAAGCUUGCUUCCUUGAGACCGGCGCACGGGUGCGUAACGCGUAUGCAAUCUACCUUAUACAGGGGGAUAGCCCAGAGAAAUUUGGAUUAAUACCCAUAGUAUAAUUGAAUGGCAUCAUUUAAUUAUUAAAGUUCCAACGGUAUAAGAUGAGCAUGCGUCCCAUUAGCUAGUUGGUGUGGUAACGGCACACCAAGGCGACGAUGGGUAGGGGUCCUGAGAGGGAGAUCCCCCACACUGGUACUGAGACACGGACCAGACUCCUACGGGAGGCAGCAGUGAGGAAUAUUGGUCAAUGGGCGCAAGCCUGAACCAGCCAUGCCGCGUGCAGGAUGACGGUCCUAUGGAUUGUAAACUGCUUUUGUACAGGAAGAAACACUCCCUCGUGAGGGAGCUUGACGGUACUGUAAGAAUAAGGAUCGGCUAACUCCGUG